AAUAAUAAGUUGAGAAAUAACUACUUGCUUGCAGCCUCUGGAGGGCACGUAUGCGCAGCGCCAACCAAGAAGGUUGCAAGGCUCCGACAAGACAAGCAAUCCGAAAUAAUUUCAACCCUAUGCUCUUAAUGCGAGAAAUGGAAAACGGGACUGAAUGCCAGGUGAUGUGCUCUCAUAUAUGGUUGGCUGACAUCACCCAGGUCACGCCCACUAACGUGACUUUGUUGGAAUAAGACUCGACGUCUGCGCAUGCACGCAUGGAAAAAUCCAGGUACUAAGCACCACCCUCUGGAGGUCAGG